CAGGAGGGACUUAGAAGAGUAUUUGGGCGAGUGUGCAAACUUAGGGACUGGCUGUACGGAUUUGGUACGGACGUUGUACGGACCGUACGGAUCCGUACGGACCGAGACAUCCCGAAAGUUCACCAGUGGUGCAGCCCUGGAAUGGCUGUCUCUCCCUGGAUCACUUGAAGGGGCGUGGGUGGAUGAAAGGUGAUGGAUAUGGUCUUCUCCUUAGAGCUAUGGAUGCUAUAAAGAUGUUUUUUUUCUGCUCCACAGACACAGGAUCACCCUGCUUAGUGUCUAGGAUGGAUCACAGAGAUAAUCCUUGCAAACAGAGAAUCAAAGACUCGAUCUGUAUCAAGGUUUGUGGAUUGAUGUGGGACACAAGAGAGAUGGCUCGCCUUCUGAUACUCCAAGGCUUCUGAUCUGGAUAUGACACACCAAAUCAGAGAACCCAAGCUGGAUAUUACACACCAGCUGAAUUGAGAGAAAACUCAAAACAAAGAAGUUGAAAAAAAAAUGUCGAUUGAUUGAUCUCCAUGCCAAAACGUGGCUACAUAUGUUAAAAGAAUAAAACUGAAAACCCUAAAUUUAAACCAAGAUGGUUUAAUCUCCUAAUCCAAUUCGAAAUUGGUUAAUUUUAAAUACUAAUCUACCCAAAUCUGGUUUACUCUAAUUCCUAAUUGUCUUUGGUUUAAAUUAAAUGAAAGCCCAAUAAACUAAACCCAUUACAUUGCAAUUAAAUCAAAC